AACGAACGCUGGCGGCAUGCCUAACACAUGCAAGUCGAACGAGACCUUCGGGUCUAGUGGCGCACGGGUGCGUAACGCGUGGGAACCUGCCUUUAGGUUCGGAAUAACUCAGAGAAAUUUGAGCUAAUACCGGAUGAUGUCCUCGGACCAAAGAUUUAUCGCCUUUAGAUGGGCCCGCGUUGGAUUAGCUAGUUGGUGGGGUAAAGGCCUACCAAGGCGACGAUCCAUAGCUGGUCUGAGAGGAUGAUCAGCCACACUGGGACUGAGACACGGCCCAGACUCCUACGGGAGGCAGCAGUGGGGAAUAUUGGACAAUGGGCGAAAGCCUGAUCCAGCAAUGCCGCGUGAGUGAUGAAGGCCUUAGGGUUGUAAAGCUCUUUUACCCGAGAUGAUAAUGACAGUAUCGGGAGAAUAAGCUCCGGCUAACUCCGUG
rnacentral:rRNA from 1 species